GGCGGUGUAGCUCAGUUGGUUAGAGCGUCGGAAUCAUAAUCCGCAGGUCCGGGGUUCAAGUCCCUGCGCCGCUACCA
rnacentral:tRNA from 2 species